UCUGAGUUUGGUGUUGUUUUGUUCAAACUCAUGCAUUAAACUUGACUCUUAUCAUGCUUCUGAAGUCUCUAAUGAUUUGUAUUGUGUUGCCAAAGUAAAAUUGUGUCACCGAUGAUGAAGCAAACAUUAGCUUCCCUAUAAAUAAGAUGUAUUAAUUUUAGACGCCUUAAACUUGUUUUGCAAUGAGACGCCUGAGAAAGGUAGUAGUAAGUCAUUGUACAUUUGUACGUCUCUGUUUUUUACUCAAUUUCUGGUACACUGCUUAGUUUUUAACAAUCGCAUCUUGUUAUCCCUGUGUAUAUAAGGAAAAUUACUAUUCAAGCUUGUAAAAAUAAAUGAAAAAGGAUUAUAUAAACAUAUAUUAUUAUUUUACAUUUAUCUUCUGUAGUAUCUGAGGGGGUAGCCCAAAUAAUGCGUGUGUCCAGAGGAUUCAUGACCCGUAUUAAGAUACAUCAAAAAGGUAUCGAUAAUUUCAUGUACCUCUAGAGUCCUUCCGUUUUCGUCUUUAUCAUCAUUAGAUAAUCCAGCAUGUCCCUUCAAUGGAUUUCAUAAAGUAGCCAAUCGCAGAUCUAAGACUUUGGGAGCAUCUUCAAGAAUCUGCUGAAAAAAUUAUGUUUUUUUGGAGUUUCAGAAAGAAUCACCAAUGUUUAUUGCAUUCUACUUGAUGCUAGAAAGAUUGAAAUUUAAUGGAACAUGUAAUGAAAGUAGAGAAUAUAAAUGAACAUUACUACAUGAGGAAACAAAUUUAUGAUUCUAAGCUAAAUCAAUAUGACCAAAAAAAUGCUAGUCUUCAAGAGAAGAAUAGAUGAAAGCAAUCAGAUGAUGUCGCCAUAUGCAACAAAAAUAGGACCUGACCACAUCUUAAAUCAAAUCGAGCAAAGAUUUACAUUACCUCAACCGUAACCAGGAAGGCUGGAAGAAAAGUGUUCCCAAACUCAAUCUGUUGUUGAUCUCGUCAUCAACUUUUCUUCUUAUCUUUCUACCGACAGUAUGAUGAAUUUCCUUCUCAAGUGAAGCUUUUUGCUUGCUCCUCUCUUGAAAUUAUUAUCAUACAACUGCGCAUCCACGAUCUGUCUGUUUUACUCUUUUAUUUCUUAAACAACACACAUCGUUAGACAAACUCUCCUACAAAAUACUAAUAAUAAUAAUAAUGUCAAAGCUCUCGUCUUUAAACGUUCUAUAGGCUAAUAGGAUUCAAAGGCAAGACCUUUUCUCAGUUCCAUUAACUGUAAACACACUAACAGAAAAAUCCCAGAAAAAAUAUAUUGAAUUCAGACAGUACCUGUUUUUAAGAUGUAGGACCCUCGAGUGUAGUUGUCACGGUGUCGACAGAACUGGGAAAAAUCCAAUGCUAGAAAGAUCAAGACACAAGGAUAGAUGAGAGAGAAGCAAAUCGGAAAAGUCUAGUAAGAACGUACACGUUACUGUGUCUCCUUCUCCAAGCUUCUAAAACGACGACGGAGAAGACGAUCAGCACCAGCGUGAGGCCGAGUUCUACGACUGUAAAUCGGAAACAGAGAGACUGAGUGGUGAGAGAUUGAGUGGUGAAGUAUAAUAAUAAACUAAUACCUGACUUUCAAAUGUAGAGAACAACAAAUUGUCAUUGUGUUAUGAAUCUGGAGUCGAGGGUUCAUAUUUUAGAUAACUCAGGCUGGAAUGACAAUAGUUAACGGACCUGUCUUAUCAUAUCAUCAAGGGGUUUAUAUAACAGGAAAAACAAAGGAAGGUGGAACGAUAAUCUCUAAUGAAGAUAGGAGAAAAUAUCAGAAUUGAAUGAGCAAGAUUGGGGUGUAAUAAUUACAGAGAGAUUGCAGAGAUUAGAAUAGUGAAUUGGAAGAGUCGGAGUUGAAGGCGACGAACAUUCUGCGUAGAAUAAGAUAUGGGCUGUUCUAUAUAGGCCUAUUUUUUUUUUGUUCAGCCCAGAUUUACUGGACCUUUUAAAUUUUUUGUCGACAAAAUAAAAGUGACGUGGCAAAACAGAGCUUCAUGAUUGGCCUGAAUAAAAAAUCCUACGUGGCACGCUCGUUGCUCUUCUUAUUCGGCUUUUAGUAGUGUUAGAU
rnacentral:lncRNA from 1 species